UGACGAAAAAUGUAUAGAUGUUGGCAACGACAGUUGUUCUUAACUCGCUAAUGAGUUUCUAAUAAUGCAUGCCAAUAGACUUAUUUUUUUAAUGGGGGCUUAUUUCAAAAACUCGUUUUCACAUCAAUCCAGCAGUCGGAAAGGUAAAAGUUUAGUAUAAAUAGGCGCUUCCUCUACUCAUAUAUUCAUUAAAUUUUCUACUAUCACUUGAAAAUCGUGACAAAAAAAGUUGAGCUGAAGUUAACAAAAUGAAAAUAGCCAUCAUUAUGUUUCUAUUUACUCUGAUUAUGGCGCUUGCAUGCAGUGCUAUGGGCCAGCCAAUGCCGCAUCAUCAUGACCAUGAACAUGAACAUCAUCACGAUCAUCACGAAUUUGAACAUGACGAGUUUGAACAUGAGGGAUUUGAACACGACGAAUUUGAACAUCACGGACAUGAAUAUCACUAGCAUUGAGAAAAUGUUUACCAAUUUGCAUUUUCGGGUGAAAAAUUCAAAAAAUCAAUCACCAAACCCAUCAGAGAGUAUCAGGAAUCCGAAAUAAAAUUUGAUAAAGUA